AGCUCUCCAAAAUGCCCAUAGCUUAAUUCCUCGAAACCAAACGCCGCCGGCCGCCGGAAAAAGGGCAGCGGCAGCAUGGACUGGUCGGCUCUGCCCGGCGACCUCCUCCGUCUCUUCUCCCGCCGCCUCCACGACCCUCUCGACUUCCUCCGCUUCCGCGCCGUCUGCCGCACCUGGCGUUCCGCCGCCGCGGCCUCCCCUCCUCCCUUCCUCCCCUGGCUCCUCGCCCGCCCCGUCCACCCCACCGCCCGCCCCUCCCUCUCCUUCUACUCCCUCUCCUCCGCCGCCCUCCGCUCCGUCGCCGCCCCCUCCGCCACCUGCUGCCUCCUCGGCCACGCCAGCUCCCACCUCCUCUUCUCCGACCACGGCCACCCCUCCAAUCCGCUCCUCCUCGCCAACCCCCUCACCGGCGCCGACCUCCCCCUCCCGCCUUCCCCCUUCGACGCCUUCGCCCCCAUCACCCAGGGCUACUACCUCCCCGGCCCGGACUCCCCGGUGGUCAUCUACGACGCCACGAGGGUCUUCUUCCACCACCCUGGUGGUGGUGGUGGUGAAUCGACGAGCCCCGGCUGGACGAAGGUGCCUGUGGAGGAUCUCGUCGCUGAGAACAUGUACCACGCCGGGAAGAUGUUCGUCUGCAACGACCGUGGCCGCCUCACCAUUUUUGACGCUACCACGCUUGCCGUGCUCGGGGACGCAGCGCCGCCGCCGCCGCCGCCGGCGGCGACUCUGCACGGGGAUGCCUUCAGAUGCUCGUCCUUCGUUCCGUCCGGCGACGAGCUCCUGUGCGUGAUUCGGUACUUCAGGAGCAAGAACAAAGCACAAGGAGAGUUGUUGGAGGAUCCGUGCGCACUGGAGGUUCACCGGCUAGAGAUUUCGAGCGAGAAGGGGGCGAAGCCGCGGUGGGUUCAGAUGAGGAGCAUUGGGGAUAGAAUGCUGUUCGUUGGGCUCUACCAGGGAUUCUCACUCCGUGCCGCCGAUUUCGCUGGCCUUGAGGGGAAUUGCAUUUACUUCUUCAGGAUGGACAGAGCCAGCAGGUCUUUCAUCUACCGGUUCAGCAUGAAUGAUGGUCACAUUGAUGAAUUGCCUGGCCCGUGGAUGCAUGCUUGCACUUGGUUCGUGCCAAGCUUGUCAUAGCCUUUGUUCGUAUAUUUAUUCAGCUAAAUCCAACAGGGUGGUGGUGGUGGGCGACGGCGCUGAGGGACGGCGGCGGCGCUAUGGGACGGCAACGAGGGGGGUGGCGCUGCAGGACGGCGCCGCUGAGGGCACAGCGCUGCCAAAGAGCGAGGGCGGCGGCGAUUGGAGUGGGGUGGCACCGCCUGAAGCGCUGGAGCCCAUUGGAGUAGGGGCGGUGCGGCUUCCUCUUUUUUUCCUAUGACACGUGAGUCCAGCCAAAUUUGGCUAUUGAGAUGAGGUGGGAGAGACUAGCCAAGUUUGGCAUCGAAGGAAAAAAAAUUAGCCAUUCCAACAGCCUACAGUUGCACAUAAAGGGAUUUUGAAUGACAGAUCUAGUCUGGUGUUGCUGCAAGGAAUAGUCCUUGAGAUAUCUCCAAAUGUCAUCUCAACUGAAGCAGUAUUGCAGCUGACAUACGGUGGCUUCUGGUUUCAGGUAGUUGUGAAAACUAAACUAAAUCAGUUUGAGCUGUUGAGUUUGAGUACAGUCAGCAAAACAUUGUUAGCUGUAAAGUGCGUUUCAAUCUCCUAGUUUCUUAAUAUUAGAAAUCAUCUUACUUUCUAUUACUGGAGGCUUGUUGAAACCUUGUGAUCAGCUUGGACCAAGAGUACAACUUUCAUGUCAUGUUUGUUGACGGUUUUUCGCUGUAAUCCCUUGAAGUGUAAUGUUUCCCUUGAAGUGCAAGAGGGUUGUGUUAUAUUAUACUGAUUUACUUGUUGGAUAAUUGAAGUAGCUAUCAUACAGUAAUUUAUAAUUUAUAAGAAUAAAGAGUG